rnacentral:tRNA from 1 species
GCCGCUGUGGUGAAACUGGCAGACGCGCCAGACUCAAAAUCUGGUGAGGGCAACCUCGUGUCGGUUCGACUCCGACCAGCGGCA